rnacentral:lncRNA from 10 species
CGGCGACAACAGAGCCAGACCCGCUCAUCCCGAUCUCCCAGAAGGCGACUGACAGCUGACUGCCAGAAGGAGAUCGCGCCAGGAGACUGACUGCUCUGUGCCCACCCGGGGACCCGGGCCCGUUCAGCCGGGCUGGCUGGUGCGCCCUCUGCAAAGCCUGCGCCAGGGAGGAGGCAGGCUCAACCUUCAGAUUCCCAGGGCCUCUCUGUCGCUGUCGCCGUCGCCGUCGCCCGAGGUCCCAGCGGCUCUACCAGAUUGUUGUGGAGGCCUCUCACCCGCACAGAUCUCCCCUGCGACCAUGUCUUCCAUUAAGAUUGAGUGUGUUUUGCCAGAGAACUGCCGGUGUGGUGAGUCUCCAGUAUGGGAGGAAGUGUCCAACUCUCUGCUCUUUGUAGACAUUCCUGCAAAAAAGGUUUGCCGGUGGGAUUCAUUCACCAAGCAAGUACAGCGAGUGACCAUGGAUGCCCCAGUCAGCUCCGUGGCUCUUCGCCAGUCGGGAGGCUAUGUUGCCACCAUUGGAACAAAGUUCUGUGCUUUGAACUGGAAAGAACAAUCAGCAGUUGUCUUGGCCACGGUGGAUAACG